GAUGAACGCUGGCGGCGUGCCUAAUACAUGCAAGUCGAGCGAACGGACGAGAAGCUUGCUUUUCUGAUGUUAGCGGCGGACGGGUGAGUAACACGUGGAUAACCUACCUAUAAGACUGGGAUAACUUCGGGAAACCGGAGCUAAUACCGGAUAAUAUUUUGAACCGCAUGGUUCAAAAGUGAAAGACGGUCUUGCUGUCACUUAUAGAUGGAUCCGCGCUGCAUUAGCUAGUUGGUAAGGUAACGGCUUACCAAGGCAACGAUGCAUAGCCGACCUGAGAGGGUGAUCGGCCACACUGGAACUGAGACACGGUCCAGACUCCUACGGGAGGCAGCAGUAGGGAAUCUUCCGCAAAGGGCGAAAGCCUGACGGAGCAACGCCGCGUGAGUGAUGAAGGUCUUCGGAUCGUAAAACUCUGUUAUUAGGGAAGAACAUAUGUGUAAGUAACUGUGCACAUCUUGACGGUACCUAAUCAGAAGGCCACGGCUAACUACGUG
rnacentral:rRNA from 1 species